rnacentral:lncRNA from 1 species
AUAAAGAGAAACAGGGCAUACGCAUCAAUGGAUUCAUUUCAUUCUGUGCUGUGCGCUUUCCCCACACACUACCUGCAUUGCACACUUGUUCCAUCACUCAAAUGGAGUAUUACAAAUCAAAACUAGAAAUCCAAUCAAUUUUAACCAAAUCUACAUUUUCUUAUGUGUACCUUAAGUAGUGAUUCUCAGUAACGUAUAACACAAAAGUUAGGACUAUCCAAGCUCUCCGACAGUCCUUCGUUAUUAAUCCCGAGGUAAAAGCGAACUUGAAGGGC